AACGUAGGUGACGAGCGUUAUCCGGAUUUACUGGGCGUAAAGCGUGUGCAGGCGGUUGAGUAAGUGGUGUAUGAAAGCUCCGUGCUUAACGCGGAGAGGUUAUGCCAGACUGCUCGGCUGGAGGCAGAGAGAGGGACAUGGAAUUCCGGGUGUAGUGGUGAAAUGCGUAGAGAUCCGGAGGAACUCCAGAGGCGAAGGCGGUGUCCUAGCUCUGACCUGACGCUCAGACACGAAAGCAUGGGGAGCGAACGGG
rnacentral:rRNA from 1 species